AAUUACGUGAAUUUCACGGACGACUGUGGUUAUUUACUCGUUUGUGAGAUUCCGUUCUGUACUGAAUCAUUCUAAUUUUCCCAAUUCGCAAAGCGAAGUCGAAAAUGGGGGGAGGCCACGGCGAGGGCACAACCUACAAAGGCAUAACCAUACACCAACCUAAGCGGUGGCACACCGUCGCCGGCAAGGGUCUCUGCGCUGUUAUGUGGUUUUGGGUGUUUUACAGAGCAAAGCAAGAUGGUCCUGUAGUAUUGGGUUGGAGGCACCCUUGGGAGGGCCACGAUGAUCAUGGCCAUGGUGGUGGACACUAGGCCAUUCCAUUCUGGCGCUUCUGUGGUGGUGUUGGGAGGACUGCCCAUGCCGAAAACAGACAUUCCAAUGGACAAGGACCCCUUGAUUUGCUCAAGAAUGUUGAGAGCAAUGCUGAGGUGAAAGGUUUGGAUGUGGAUGCUCUUUACAUUUCCCACAUCCAAGUCAACCAAGCACAAAAACAAAGACGCCGCACCUACCGUGCUCACGGAAGAAUCAAUCCCUACAUGUCAUCUCCCUGCCACAUAGAGUUGAUCUUAUCCGAGA